GACGAACGCUGGCGGCGUGCUUAACACAUGCAAGUCGAACGGAAAGGCCCUGCUUUUGUGGGGUGCUCGAGUGGCGAACGGGUGAGUAACACGUGAGUAACCUGCCCUUGACUUUGGGAUAACUUCAGGAAACUGGGGCUAAUACCGGAUAGGAGCUCCUGCUGCAUGGUGGGGGUUGGAAAGUUUCGGCGGUUGGGGAUGGACUCGCGGCUUAUUAGCUUGUUGGUGGGGUAGUGGCUUACCAAGGCUUUGACGGGUAGCCGGCCUGAGAGGGUGACCGGCCACAUUGGGACUGAGAUACGGCCCAGACUCCUACGGGAGGCAGCAGUGGGGAAUAUUGCACAAUGGGCGGAAGCAUGAUGCAGCAACGCCGCGUGCGGGAUGACGGCCUUCGGGUUGUAAACCGAUUUCGCCUGUGACGAAGCGUGAGUGACGGUAAUGGGUAAAGGAGCACCGGCUAACUACGG
rnacentral:rRNA from 1 species